GAGUGCGGGCCCUCUGGGUCCAACCUCCCAUCCGUGUCUAUCUGUACCCUGUUGCUUCGGCGUGGCCACGGCCCGCCGAAGACUAACAUUUGAACACUGUCUGAAGUUUGCAGUCUGAGUUUUUAGUUAAACAAUAAUUAAAACUUUCAACAACGGAUCUCUUGGUUCC
rnacentral:misc_RNA from 1 species